rnacentral:rRNA from 1 species
CCUACGGGGGGCAGCAGUGGGGAAUAUUGGACAAUGGGGGGAACCCUGUUCCAGCCAUGCCGCGUGUGUGAAGAAGGCCCUCGGGUUGUAAAGCACUUUCAGUGAGGAAGAACGCCUGGUGGUUAAUACCCAUCAGGAAAGACAUCACUCACAGAAGAAGCACCGGCUAACUCCGUGCCAGCAGCCGCGGUAAUACGGAGGGUGCGAGCGUUAAUCGGAAUUACUGGGCGUAAAGCGCGCGUAGGUGGCUUGAUAAGCCGGUUGUGAAAGCCCCGGGCUCAACCUGGGAACGGCAUCCGGAACUGUCAAGCUAGAGUGCAGGAGAGGAAGGUAGAAUUCCCGGUGUAGCGGUGAAAUGCGUAGAGAUCGGGAGGAAUACCAGUGGCGAAGGCGGCCUUCUGGACUGACACUGACACUGAGGUGCGAAAGCGUGGGUAGCAAACAGGAUUAGAUACCCCUGUAGUC